UCCGUCAGUCAGCCUCCGGCAGUGGGUUGCGCACUCAGAUUCUUGCACGGCUUGGAGGUUGCUGAAGUGGAGAUGGCGGAAGCGGUGGAGAUGCAGCUAGCAGUAGCACCGAUGACUGUGGCUGAAGUGGGAGGAAGUGAAGAAACUCGAGAUGCAGCUAGCGGUAGCAGCAAUGGCAGUGACGGAAGUGGAAAUUGGGAGUUUGGGACAGUCGGUGGCGGAGGAAGAAGAUCAAUCGAAGGAGUCAGCAGAGCAUACAAGUUAACCUAAGUGAAGGAAGGAGGAAAGUUUACCAACAGUGGCUGAACAUCGAUUAUAGCUUAGUGCGCAGA
rnacentral:lncRNA from 1 species